rnacentral:lncRNA from 1 species
GCCCAAGCCAAGCCAUCGCAUCCCCUGUGACUUGCACGUAUACGCCCAGAUGGCCUGAAGUAACUGAAGAAUCACAAAAUAAGUGAAUAUGCCCUGCCCCACCUUAACUGAUGACAUUCCACCACAAAAGAAGUGUAAAUGGCCGGUCCUUACCUUAAGUGAUGACAUUACCUUGUGAAAGUCCUUUCCCUGGCUCGUCCUGGCUCAAAAAGCACCCCCACUGAGCACCUUGCGACCCCCACUCCUGCCCGCCAGAGAACAAACCCCUUUUGACUGUAAUUUUCCUUUACCUACCCAAAUCCUAUAAAAUGGCCCCACCCCAUCUCCCUUCACUGACUCUGUUUUCGGACUCAGCCUGCCUGCACCCAGGUGAAAUAAACAGCCUUGUUGCUCACAC